GAACAUAUCAGCUUCACAGCCUAAGUUUUGUGGUACAGUAUUUUGGUCUCACAAGGUUACAUUACACAUAGGCUGGAUUUACAUUAUUUUUGCAUGUGGCAGCUUAGGUUUCAAUAAAAGCUUAAAACAAGAAAAUAUAACCACAUGUUGCCUUACAGCUUAUGCAUUUCUGUCUUUCAAGAUUACAUUAAAAUUAAUUGCAUUUGCUUGUUUUUAGUUCUUCAUCUGAGCAUCUGACAAACAGUAUACAUCUUAUAACAUGAAUAUUUACCAUGAGCACUUCAGAUGAAGCUUCCUCAUCUGUAUUACUGUUAUAUUAUUCAAACUACUUUACUGAAAACAAUCAUCUACCUCUACUGUAAGGUUACCUGGACCCAUAUUCUCAGACACUUCGCCGCUAACACUCAUAUUUGACAGGGUUUUCAUAGGGGUUGUGGGCAUUUCCCGGGGUAGUUUAAUGACCCUUGUGGUAGUACGACCCUUCUUCUGUACCAUGAACGUGAAAAAGCACUCACGAGAACCCGAUUAAUCUUCUUUACGGCCUUUGGAAAUUGUUGAGGUGAGAGGCAGAAGCAUCUGAGAAUACCGACCCUGCCUGUGUAAUCAGUGGUUCACUCCCACAUCCAGAAUAAAGGAUGAAGAGGAGGCUAAAUUUGGCUACAAGAAUGCUUACAGUACAGCAACUUUAUUUCAUAUUCAUCGAGGUAAAGUAACGUUGGGGGUAUACGCUGUAGCAGCGCGUGGCCUCGGUGCUCAUCACCGUAACAUUGGCCCUUGAGCCUGUGGUGGGAGGGAGCCCAUCACCCCGGGACACAGGGCCAGAGUGACAUCCGGGUUACCAGUUUACCUUCCCCAGGUUUCCCCAGGUACCCAUUUAUCGACCUGCCCGAAAGGGAGGAUGAACUGCUGGGUGAGCUGCAAGUCGACUGCCCGGGCCGGGAUUCGAACCCGAGCCCACGGAGUAGAAGCCAGGCACGCUGACCACUAGACCACGGAGGCGUAUAUUCAUCAAGAGCACAUUAUAAUCUCCAAUUUCAUUAUCCCCUCUCCUGCCGAGCCCUUGACUUUAUACUCUUUUUUUUACAGCAAAGGAAGCAGCUCAAGGGCAACAAAAAGAAGCUGUAGAUAAAAAAAAAAAAAAUAAAAAAAAAAAAGGAGCCCACUAAUUGCUACUCCUACAAAAGCUAAAAGUGAAGAGUGGCCAAAAGAGAGGCUAAUUUCAGGUGGAGAGGUGUCAAAACUACUCACAACAGUUAUAUUGAGCCCUAAGAACAUACGAUCCCCUUCUAACAGCAACCCUUACUGGAGAAGUACAGAAACAGCGACAGGUACAGUGGUGGGAAUAUCAAACACACACCUCGGCCACGGGCAAAGAGGUGUGUUGGUGCUCUCUGGACAUUGCAAGAACACAUAUUUAAUUUCACGGCAUAUCAAACACACACCUCGGCCACGGGCAAAGAGGUGUGUUGGUGCUCUCUGGACAUUGCAAGAACACAUAUUUAAUUUCACGGCAUUUCAAACACACACCUCGGCCAUGGGCAAGGUGGUGUGUUGGUGCUCUCUGGACAUUGCAAGAACACAUUUAAUUUCACGGCAUAUCAAACAAACACCUCAGCCACCCGUAAGGAGGUGUGUUGGUGCUCUCUGGACAUUGCAAGAACACAUAUUUAAUUUCACGGCAUAUCAAACAAACACCUCAGCCACGCGUAAGGAGGUGUGUUGGUGCUCUCUGGACAUUGCAAGAACACAUUUAAUUUCACGGCAUAUCAAACAAACACCUCAGCCACCCGUAAGGAGGUGUGUUGGUGCUCUCUGGACAUUGCAAGAACACAUAUUUAAUUUCACGGCAUAUCAAACAAACACAGCCACGCGUAAGGAGGUGUGUUGGUGCUCUCUGGACAUUGCAAGAACACAUAUUUAAUUUCACGGCAUAUCAAACAAACACCUCGGCCACGGGUAAGGAGGUGUGUUGGUGCUCUCUGGACAUUGCAAGAACACAUAUUUAAUUUCACGGCAUAUCAAACAAACACCUCGGCCACGCGUAAGGAGGUGUGUUGGUGCUCUCUGGACAUUGCAAGAACACAUAUUUAAUUUCACGGCAUAUCAAACAAACACCUCGGCCACGGGUAAGGAGGUGUGUUGGUGCUCUCUGGACAUUGCAAGAACACAUAUUUAAUUUCACGGCAUAUCAAACACACACCUCGGCCAUGGGCAAGGAGGUGUGUUGGUGCUCUCUGGACAUUGCAAGAACACAUAUUUAAUUUCACGGCAUAUCAAACAAACACCUCGGCCAUGCGUAAGGAGGUGUGUUGGUGCUCUCUGGACAUUGCAAGAACACAUAUUUAAUUUCACGGCAUAUCAAACAAACACAGCCACGCGUAAGGAGGUGUGUUGGUGCUCUCUGGACAUUGCAAGAACACAUUUAAUUUCACGGCAUAUCAAACAAACACCUCGGUCACGGGCAAGGAGGUGUGUUGGUGCGGUUGGUACUUUUUGGACAUGGCAACAACAUGCUUAAUUUCACGGACACCUCCAAUUCUGUGCUCUGUGUCUCCAUUCUCUACACCUACUAGUGCCAUGGAGAUCAGACCCACAGGUGGUAGAGGAACACGUCUUCACUGAUCGGCCACACACCUUCUCAAUGUAGGUAGACAGCAGACGUUUGCUGGGGUGGACAGGGCUCCGAGGUGUUGCUUCCUCGCCCGCCCUAGGUGAUCCGCGGGGCUCCUGGAGAAGACGAGAGAAGGUUAGGUCAUAUUUUAAAACAUUUCAUCGCCCAAGAACACUAAUUUGACAGGGCUUUCGUAUGUGUUGUGGGCAUUUCCAGGAGAGAAGGUUAGGUCAUAUUUUAAAACAUUUCAUCGCCCAAGAACACUAAUUUGACAGGGCUUUCGUAUGUGUUGUGGGCAUUUCCAGGAGAGAAGGUUAGGUCAUAUUUUAAAACAUUUCAUCGCCCAAGAACACUAAUUUGACAGGGCUUUCGUAUGAGUUGUGGGCAUUUCCAGGAGCAGUUAUAUAACCCUGGUGAUAGUGUGACCCUUCCUCUGUACCAUGAACCUGUAGAAACACCCAUUAGAACCCAAUUGACCCCCUCUUUGACCUUUAGAGUGAGGAUUCUGCUUAGAGUGAGUGUAGAAAUGGCUGUUGUGGGAGUAAUAGUGGUGGUGGUUGUUGUAGAUGUAUAGUAAUGAUAAUGAAAGGGAUGGUGGUGGUGAUGGUUGUGUUAGUGGUAGUGGUGGUGGUGGUGACGAUGGUACGAGUGAAAGAGGGUCAAAUACAGGGUCAAAUACUCUACAAGCACAUAAACUCAAGCAUUGGGCAUUGAAAUCAUUAAAAGUGCCCAAACCCUUCAUGAAUAUUGGUCCAGAGAAAACCUUGAUGUAAUUAGGAUUUGAGGGAAUACUAAUAAUUAAAGCGAGGUGUAAAAAUAGAUGUGAUACUGCAAUAUAUGGAUGCAAUACUUUAAAGCCUGUCAUUUCAAAGGGGGGAGAAAUCUUAGGUUACACAUCUCCGCAGGCCACCUCUCCCUUGGACACACACACACACACACACACACGUCCGGGACUUGUCGAACACUUGCGCAGAGACGAAUAUGAAUGUGGCGAUGACGUUGUGGAUAAGUGUGUGUGUGUGUGUGUGUGUGUUUUGUAAAUGAGACCAAUGCAACAUCCUAUUCCUCUUCCUCCUCCUCCUCCUCCUCCUCCUCUUCUUCUUCUUCCUCCUAACUUCGCCCCUCUUCCCACUUAUCUUCACCUGUAUCCUUACUACACAAUCCCUUCUUCCUUCUUCCUCUCCUCUCUCUCCUCCAUUUAUCUUCUCCUCCUCUCUUCUCUUCUCCAGUUCUCCCUCCUUCCUUCUCUCCUCUUGAAACGUUCCUCCUUAUCCCUCAUCUUCCUUUCUUCCUCCAUACCUCCGUUUCCUCCCUCUCCCCAUCUUUCCCCACAUUUGCAUAUUUUCCUCUCCCUUCCUCUUCCUGUUCUCCCCUUACAUGGUUUCUCCCUCCUCCCUCCAUUGUCUUCUUUUACAGCCCCUUCUUCUUCCCUCUCUUCUUUGUCACCUCUAAAAACAGCAUCGUCAUCCCUUCAACCUUCCUUUUAUUUGUCUCUUUAACUCCUCCUCCUCCUCCUCCUUCCCUUUCGUACGGUUACCCUCCUCUUCUCUUUUUCCUCCCUUUUUUCCCUCCUCUCUCUUACGACCGCCCUUUUCCUCCCCCUCUCCUUCCCUCUCUCCUACGACACCCUUUCCUUCAUUCUCCAAGCCCCAUUUUCCUCCCCCUCUCCUUCCCUCCCUCCUACGACCCCCUUUCCUCCAUUCUCCAAGCCCCAUUUUCCUC